AGAGUUUGAUCCUGGCUCAGAACGAACGCUGGCGGCAGGCCUAACACAUGCAAGUCGAGCGCUGUAGCAAUACAGAGCGGCGCACGGGUGAGUAACACGUGGGAACGUGCCCUUUGGUUCGGAAUAACUCAGGGAAACUUGAGCUAAUACCGGAUGAGCCCUAACGGGGAAAGAUUUAUCGCCGAAGGAGCGGCCCGCGUUGGAUUAGCUAGUUGGUGGGGUAAAAGCCUACCAAGGCGACGAUCCAUAGCUGGUUUGAGAGAACGACCAGCCACACUGGGACUGAGACACGGCCCAGACUCCUACGGGAGGCAGCAGUGGGGAAUCUUGGACAAUGGGGGAAACCCUGAUCCAGCCAUGCCGCGUGAGUGAUGAAGGCCCUAGGGUUGUAAAACUCUUUCGGCGGGGACGAUAAUGACGGUACCCGCAGAAGAAGCUCCGGCUAACUUCGUGCCAGCAGCCGCGGUAAUACGAAGGGGGCUAGCGUUGUUCGGAAUUACUGGGCGUAAAGCGCGCGCAGGCGGUUCUUCAAGUCAGAGGUGAAAGCCCAGGGCUCAACCCUGGAAUGGCCUUUGAGACUAGAGGACUUGGGUACGGGAGAGGUGAGUGGAAUUCCGAGUGUAGAGGUGAAAUUCGUAGAUAUUCGGAAGAACACCAGUGGCGAAGGCGGCUCACUGGCCCGUUACCGACGCUCAGGCGCGACAGCGUGGGGAGCAAACAGGAUUAGAUACCCUAGUAGUCC
rnacentral:rRNA from 1 species